rnacentral:sRNA from 1 species
AAUCAAUUGGUCGCAGGUUCGAAUCCUGCACGACCCACCAAUCGUUCGGUGGAAACGAGAAUAAAACGUGAAGGAUAACGUUGCGUCAGCAACGGCCCGUAGGGCGAGGCAAAGCCGAGUCAUCCUGCACAACCCACCA